rnacentral:miRNA from 1 species
GGCACGGGAGGCAUGCCCGAGGCGAGAGCAGCGAGACCAACAGUCCGGGGAGACCUGGGAGGUGAGGGCGGUGGGGGAAGGG